rnacentral:rRNA from 1 species
CCGCAGAGACCAGGUGGCUGCGACUGUUUAUUAAAAACACAGCACUCUGCAAACACGUAAGUGGACGUAUAGGGUGUGACGCCUGCCCGGUGCCGGAAGGUUAAAUGAUGAGGUUAGCCCUCGGGCGAAGCUUUUGAUUGAAGCCCCGGUAAACGGCGGCCGUAACUAUAAAUACCGUUGUAGUUACGUAAAUAAACUUGGCUAUAUGCUGGAAACUCCGGUGUAUCCUCCGAUACUCGCCAAUUCAUUGGCAGUGACAAUUCGUGAGGUGCGGACAAUCAGCAGGAAAGGCUCUAGCUUUGAUAGUAGAGAAUCCUCAGAGACUACACGCCAAGCCACUUAAAUUCCUAAGUGGAUGAUAUAGUCCGAUCUUUAUGGCGACAUAAAGAACCAGCCGGAAACGAGCUGGUCCAUUUCAAGAAAUUUUGGAAUGCGUAACAUUGCAAGAACGGUCCUAAGGUAGGAUUCGCUGCCUUAGUAAAAUCUGGCCAAUUGCUGGAAACUCCGGUGUAUCCUCCGGUACUCGCCACACAAGGUGGCAGUGACAAUCCGUGAGGUGCGGACAAUCAGCAGGAAAGAUUAUUGAGGAAAUCGCAUGACCUUUAUUCCCCGUAAGAUCCCCCCACACAUUGGUUAUUACCUAGCAGGUUUUGCUGAUGGAGAAGGGAGCUUCAAUGUGUCUUUUCGGAAACGAAAAGAUUACAAAAAUCCAUGGAAAGUUUCUUUGUGUUUCAACGUGUCUCAGAAAGAUCGAGUCAUAUUGGCGCUUUACAAGAAACACUUUCAAUGCGGCACAUUGAGAGAACGGUCUGAUGGGGUUUGGUAUUACGAGGUCAACAAUUUCCGGUCUAUUCAAGAAAACGUCAUUCCUUUCUUCAGAGAAUUUGGUUUUUUGUCGGCUAAAAAGAAACGUGACUUUGCCAAGUUUAGGCAACUCGCGGAACUGAUGGCUGAGGACGAUCACUUAACUGAAGAAGGCAUUCGGCAAAUUUUGAAGAUUCGAAAUCAAAUGAACGAUGGAGGCGCUGGAAGACGUAAGUAUUCCGACGACGACAUCCUCGCUUUGUUUCGUCAAUAAAAUCCUCAGAGACUACACGCCAGACACUCAAGCUUUUAGAGUGAAGAUAUAGUCCCAUCUGCAUGGCGACAUGCAGGGGUAAGGCCCACACGGCUUAUCCAGUUUGGUGUACGUGAGACCAAACUUAAGAUCAUCGAGCGAAAUUCCUUGUCGGGUAAGUUCCGACCUGCACGAAUGGCGUAACGAUGGCCACACUGUCUCCACCCGAGACUCAGUGAAAUUGAAAUUGCGGUUAAGAUGCCGUAUACCCGCGGCUAGACGGAAAGACCCCGUGAACCUUUACUACAGCUUCACAUUGAACUUCGAUUAUUCUUGUGUAGGAUAGGUGGGAGGCUUUGAUACGUAGACGCCAGUUUACGUGGAGCCAUCCUUGAAAUACCACCCUGGUGUAAUUGGAGUUCUAACCCAGGACCGUGAUCCGGUUCGGGAACAAUGUGUGGUGGGUAGUUUGACUGGGGCGGUCUCCUCCCAAAGAGUAACGGAGGAGCACGAAGGUACCCUCAGCACGGUCGGACAUCGUGCAUUGAGUGCAAAGGCACAAGGGUGCUUGACUGCGAGAUCGACGGAUCGAGCAGGUACGAAAGUAGGUCUUAGUGAUCCGGUGGUUCUGUAUGGAAGGGCCAUCGCUCAACGGAUAAAAGGUACUCCGGGGAUAACAGGCUGAUACCGCCCAAGAGUUCAUAUCGACGGCGGUGUUUGGCACCUCGAUGUCGGCUCAUCACAUCCUGGGGCUGAAGUCGGUCCCAAGGGUAUGGCUGUUCGCCAUUUAAAGUGGUACGCGAGCUGGGUUUAGAACGUCGUGAGACAGUUCGGUCCCUAUCUGCCGUGGGCGUUUGAGACUUGAGGGAAG